CUGUAAAUAUUCUUGCCUUUCUGGUUUUAUAAUAAGCAGGACAGGAUAAACAUUCCAAAUAUAAAAACCAUGCAUGUGUUUCCAGACCCGGUUCUUUCCCUAGUAUAGUUUUAUAAAUGUUGGUGAGAAAC
ensembl:snoRNA SNORA72 Small nucleolar RNA SNORA72